rnacentral:rRNA from 1 species
UAGUAAUUCAUUUUAUGAAUUGGAAAUUAAAUACUAUAGUAAUAAAACCUAAAAAUUUGGCGGUGUUAUUAUUUAAUUAGGGGAACCUGUUGAUUAAUUCGAUAAUCCACGAUUCUUAUUACCUAUAUUUGAUAAAUCAAUUUGUGUACUGCCGUCGAAAAUAAAUUCUUAUAGAUUAUAUAUAUAUAUAUAUAUAUACAUAAAUGUAAUUAAUAAAUUAUAUGUCAGGUCAAAGUGCAAUUUAUAUAUAGGGUUUAAAUGGGUUACUACAAUAUAUACAUUUGAAUAUUAAAUAAAAACAUUUAAUUAAAAUAGAACUUAAUAGUAAUUAUAUAAAACUAUAAUGAAUUAUUAAAUUAAAACAAGC